rnacentral:rRNA from 1 species
GCUAACAACCUAGCACAUGCCCCGACAGCCCCCAACAACAACCCUAAUAAAACCCCCAGCCCACAAACAAACCAUUUUUCCACUCUAGUAUGGGAGACAAAAAGAAUUAGCCCUGAGCAACAGAGAGAGUACCGCAAGGGAAAGCUGAAAGAGAAAUGAAACAACCCACUUAAGCCUAGUACAGCAGAGAUUAAACCUCGUACCUCUUGCAUCAUAAUUUAGCCAGCACACUCAAGCAAAAAGAACUUUAGUUUGAACCCCCGAAACUAGACGAGCUACUCCGAAACAGCCUAUCAUGGGCCAACCCGUCUCUGUGGCAAAAGAGUGGGGAGAAUUCCGAGUAGAGGUGAAAGACCUACCGAGCCUAGCUAUAGCUGGUUGCUUACAAAAUGAGUAGAAGCUCAGCCUCCUGGGUUAUUUUAGCCCCUAAGUUCUUCUAAUGCUAAACUUAAAGGAACCAGAAGAGUAAGUCAAGGGAGGUACAGCUCCUUUGAACCGGGAUACAACCCCCUCAGGCGGUAAAAGAUCAUAAACCACAGGCCUCACGUUAUAGUAGGCCCAAAAGCAGCCACCUAUUCAGAAGGCGUUACAGCCCAAGCAAAUCACACCCCCCCCAUCUCGUUGUAGCCCCCCAUCCCCUAACCCCCCCCCACUAAGCCAUUUUAUGCCCCCAUAAAAGACCCCCUGCUAAAAUUAGUAAUAAGAGACCCCACCCCUCCAAGCACAUGUGAAAGUCAAACCGGACCCACCAUCGACAAAUAACGAACCCAAACCUAGAGGGAAUCAUAAACUAUACACAACCAAGAAAAUCCUAAUAAUCCUAUAUCGUUAACCCCACACAGGACUGCAUAUAAGGAAAGACCUAAAGGAAGAGAAGGAACUCGGCAAACAUGAGCCCCGCCUGUUUACCAAAAACAUCGCCUCUUGCCUAAAUAACAUAAGAGGUCCUGCCUGCCCUGUGACCACGUGUUUAACGGCCGCGGUAUUUUAACCGUGCAAAGGUAGCGCAAUCACUUGUCUUUUAAAUAAAGACCCGUAUGAAUGGCAUAACGAAGGCUCAACUGUCUCCUCUCCCUAGUCAAUGAACUUGAUCUCCCCGUGCAGAAGCGGGACUUUUCCCAUAAGACGAGAAGACCCCAUGAAGCUUCAGACGCCAGUCAACCCCUCCCCCUAACCUCUUCUACCAAAAAGGGGGCUAUAGGGAGAGACCCCCUUCCUAAGCGUCUUUGGUUGGGGCGACCACGGGGGACAAAAGCCCCCCCGCGGACUGAGGGCACUGCCCCCCAAGCUAUGACCCACAGCUCUAAGCAACAGAACUUCUGACCAAAAUGAUCCGGCCUGCGCCGAUCCACGAACCUAGUUACCCUGGGGAUAACAGCGCAAUCCUCUCCAAGAGCCCCUAUCGACGAAAGGGUUUACGACCUCGAUGUUGGAUCAGGACACCCCAAUGGUGCAACCGCCAUUAAAGGUUCGUUUGUUCAACGAUUAAAGUCCUACGUGAUCUGAGUUCAGACCGGAGCAAUCCAGGUCAGUUUCUAUCUAUUAAGUAGCCCUUCCCAGUACGAAAGGGCCGGAAGGAAGAGGCCCAUGCCCAUCGCAUGCCUUCCCCCCAACUAUUGAAACCAACUAAAAUAGAAAAGGGGUACCCCAAACAAGCCCUAGAUAAUGGCU